UACAGAGGUCCCGAGCGUUGUUCGGAUUUAUUGGGCGUACAGGGUGCGUAGGUGGCAAAGUAAGUUGGAUGUGAAAUCCUGGGGCUUAACCUCAGAAUUGCAUUCAAUACUGCUUAGCUAGAGAGCUGUAGAGGAGACUGGAAUUUACGGUGUAGCAGUGAAAUGCGUAGAUAUCGUAAGGAACGCCAGUGGCGAAAGCGAGUCUCUGGGCAGCAUCUGACACUGAGGCACGAAGGCCAGGGGAGCAAACGGG
rnacentral:rRNA from 1 species